rnacentral:lncRNA from 1 species
CCAACAAAUCUUCAUUGGGGUAUGAAGGGUGCUAGCCUCAGGGUGAAAUCAAAGGAUCAUUAUGAAGUUGUGCUCUAUGCAAAACCAUUUGCUUAUGCUCCAAAAACUCCAUAUGAAGAAUGCAUGAAGCCUAAGCCAACUCCAGCUCCUUACUACUACCAUUCUCCUCCACCACCAUCGCCGACAUACGUAUACAAGUCACCACCUCCUCCAUCACCCAAAUACGUGUACAAAUCACCACCUCCUCCAUCACCUAAAUACGUGUACAAGUCGCCACCCCCUCCAUCACCUGAAUAUGUGUACAAGUCCCCACCCCCUCCAACCCCAACUUACGUGUACAAGUCACCACCACCUCCAUCACCUGAAUACGUAUACAAGUCCCCACCACCUCCAUCACCGAAGUACGUGUAUAAAUCCCCCCCACCGCCACCAUACUACUACAAGUCCCCCCCACCUCCAUCACCUGAGUACGUAUACAAGUCUCCCCCACCUCCAUCCCCAAAGUACGUGUACAAGUCCCCGCCCCCUCCAUCACCUGAAUACGGGGACAAGUCCCCACCACCUCCCUCACCCGAAUACGUGUACAAGCCCCCACCCCCUCCAUCACCUGAAUACGGGGACAAGUCCCCACCACCUCCCUCACCCGAAUACGUGUACAAGCCCCCACCCCCUCCAUCACCUGAAUACGGGGACAAGUCCCCACCACCUCCCUCACCCGAAUACGUGUACAAGCCCCCACCCCCUCCAUCACCUGAAUACGGGGACAAGUCCCCACCACCUCCCUCACCCGAAUACGUGUACAAGCCCCCACCCCCUCCAUCACCUGAAUACGGGGACAAGUCCCCACCACCUCCCUCACCCGAAUACGUGUACAAGCCCCCACCCCCUCCAUCACCUGAAUACGGGGACAAGUCCCCACCACCUCCCUCACCCGAAUACGUGUACAAGCCCCCACCCCCUCCAUCACCUGAAUACGGGGACAAGUCCCCACCACCUCCCUCACCCGAAUACGUGUACAAGCCCCCACCCCCUCCAUCACCUGAAUACGGGGACAAGUCCCCACCACCUCCCUCACCCGAAUACGUGUACAAGCCCCCACCCCCUCCAUCACCUGAAUACGGGGACAAGUCCCCACCACCUCCCUCACCCGAAUACGUGUACAAGCCCCCACCCCCUCCAUCACCUGAAUACGGGGACAAGUCCCCACCACCUCCCUCACCCGAAUACGUGUACAAGCCCCCACCCCCUCCAUCACCUGAAUACGGGGACAAGUCCCCACCACCUCCCUCACCCGAAUACGUGUACAAGCCCCCACCCCCUCCAUCACCUGAAUACGGGGACAAGUCCCCACCACCUCCCUCACCCGAAUACGUGUACAAGCCCCCACCCCCUCCAUCACCUGAAUACGGGGACAAGUCCCCACCACCUCCCUCACCCGAAUACGUGUACAAGCCCCCACCCCCUCCAUCACCUGAAUACGUAUACAAGUCUCCACCACCUCCAUCACCGAAGUACGUGUAUAAAUCCCCACCACCGCCACCAUACUACUACAAUUCUCCUCCACCACCGUCGCCAUCUCCUCCUCCACCAUACUACUACAAGUCUCCACCACCACCGGAACCAUCUCCUCCACCACCAUACUACUACAAGUCUCCUCCCCCACCAUCACCGUCUCCUCCUCCACCAUACUACUACAAAUCCCCACCACCACCAUCCCCAUCGCCUCCUCCACCAUACUACUACAAGUCCCCACCACCACCAUCUCCAUCACCCCCACCUCCAUACUACUACAAAUCCCCACCUCCACCGUCACCGUCUCCUCCUCCACCAUACUACUACAAAUCACCACCACCCCCAUCACCAUCACCGCCACCUCCUUACUACUACCACUCUCCACCACCCCCAUCACCAUCACCCCCACCUCCUUACUACUACCACUCUCCACCACCACCAUCACCAUCUCCCCCUCCUCCUUACUACUAUCACUCCCCACCACCACCAUCACCAUCUCCCCCACCUCCUUACUACUACCACUCCCCACCUCCACCCGUGAAGUCUCCUCCUCCUCCAUACUACUACAACUCACCUCCCCCACCCGUAAAAUCACCUCCGCCUCCAGUAUACAUCUACACUUCUCCACCACCACCAGUCCACUACUAAGCAGUUUGAAAAGCUUCGUCAUUUUCCACAACCACUCAA